ACACCUUCCGUGUCUUAUGUUAGUGUUUACAUUUGAGGUUCUGAUCUGUUUACUAACAAAAAAAAGUUUAUCUGGUCUUAAUUGCAAUUUUUUAAUCAAUUAUAGUGUAUUUUAGUAUUGACUCGUCCCUUUCUCGUGAUACAUGGAGGACAGUGACUCCCGUAAAGCUUAAAGUGUGUGGAAACGACCUGUGGCCUACUCUAGUCUCAGGUUUAAUUACGACUCGUACUGAUCCUUCUAUCACCACACCCGCACAUACACUUACGGGGUCGAUAGAGGUGUUCCAUAAUUUUAUCAGCUGCGGACACCUUCAUCUCAGGUACUACGUAAGGAAGACCACGAUUCUGGUGUUCAUCUCACCUGUCUGACUGCUGACGUCGUCGACAGCGAGGGACAACUCUAUGAGAGUUACCCGCUAAUUGAUUUUACACGAAAUCCUGGUCUCACUGUUAAUGUUCUAACGCUAGACACCUUGAUCCCUCCUUCGCCCUAAAUACUCUAAAGUUUUCUUUUUUACUGGUGAAACUAUCUCAGAUUAGUUUCACUCCAAAAUUUUCCUCCCAAACGAUGCGAAUGCGACUUAAAACUCGCGCGAUAUUGGUGUACUUCAGUAUCGUCUGCUUUGGUUCUGUCUUCUUUGGAUUGUAUUUCAUUUUCACACCUGCAUAUGAAACGAAACAGAAAAAAGGAAUUGACUUUGCAGCCAAAGAUAAAUGGUCUCAUCUCUUACACAAACAGCCAUCAGUGUUGGAUGCAAAACAUUACAAUGAACUUCGUAGACCUGACCUUGCACUUGGAUGGGCAGAAAAAGGAAAUGCAGACAGAUCAAAUAUUUGGGAGGAUAAGAAAAUAGGGUCAGAAAAUGCAGAGAUAGUUUUACCAGAGAAAGAUAUGCUGUAUACCAUGAGCUGGGAGGAAAUUGCCUUCUUAUAUCACAAGUACACAAAACAAAUCCAGAUAAACUGUCAGGACAUUGUGCGACUAGGAAGAGUUACUGAUGGAGGGUGGGAGGUGUGUGAUGAUUCCUCUUAUCGCCCAUCAGCUCCCUGUCUGGUGUAUUCAUUUGGUGUGGGGGAUGAUUUCAGUUUUGAUGAUGCGGUUGCCCGCAGGUAUAAAUGUGAAGUACAUUCCUUUGACCCAAGCAUGAAUGUGAAAGACUACCAGCGAGAUUCAACUGUAUACUUCCACCAGCUUGGUCUGGCUGACUUUACUGGGGAAACUUCUGAUGGUUGGAAAAUGUCCACAUUUGCAGACAUCAGAAAGCACUUCCACCAUGAAGGGAAGCCACUGUCAAUUUUGAAACUAGACAUCGAGGAAUGGGAGUGGAAAGUGCUGCCAAGCUUACUGAAAAGCGGCUAUUUAAACGAUACAAGUCAACUCUUGAUGGAACUUCAUCAGUGUGAAGGGUGCUCUCGGUACAACCCAGCCCAGGUUGACAAAGAAGCAACGCAAGAACGUUACAUUUUGGCACUACAGAUCUUGAAAGACCUGUAUGACUUGGGCUUUCGCAUAUUCUGGGAACACCAAAACCUUGCCUGCAGCUACAUAUCCAAGUUUGCCUUGGCAGAACGAAGUGGCUGCUGUGAGCUACACAUGGUACAGUCCAGGUUACUUGGAAAAAAAAAAGUUUAGGAGAGAUCAAGAGUGUGAAAUUACAACAGCACUUCGGUGUUUUUAAACACUGAAAGAGUUAAGAGGUUUCUGUAAACAGAUUAUACUUUUAAAUCAUGCUAGCCUGUUAACAAAUGAUGGACAUUGUUAGAAUGUUAUCUUAACUUUCAUGUCAUGCUGCUUGUUAUUCCACAGGUUUUUAAUUGUACAGUUAAUAAUUAUAAAAUUAUAAUUAUAAUCGUCAGCAAAUAAGGGUUGACCUUCAAAUCAUUGUCUUGAUCAAACAUAGCUCAGAACUUUUAGUCCCCACAUAUUGCGUCAUAUAAUUCUUUUUUAUUUUGUGCUUUAGUUUUUGUUUUUUUCCCUGUUAAAUUAGUUUUUUUUUAGUUCAUAGACAGUUUUCUUGAUGGAUGCUGUGUGUUUUGUUUUUUUUAAAGAAGAUGACCAUGUAAUUUCUGAUAUUUUUACCUCUAUAUUUUAUACUUUCUGCCAAAGAAUCUUGCAAGAUGUCUAUUUUUGUCUUAUCAAGGCAUGCUGAUUAAUUCCAGCUUAUGUAAUUCAGCCAUAUCACAUAAUCAUAAAAUGCUGUAAGGACAUCUAUUUUGUGUUACCAGAGUAUGUCAGGGUUCCUAGUUUACUAGUGUCUCACUGUGGCAUGCCAUCAGGGUAUGUUACUAAGCCAUUUCAGUGAGAUACCACAAUUCCUUAUUAAUGCCAAAUGAACUAGCAGCAUAUUUGUGAUAAAAAAAUCAUUUUUCAAUUCUUUUGGCACAUUGACAGGCUUUCUGCAAUGUGAUAAAAUUCUUGAUGAGACAGAAGUGUGUUCAUAGAAUUGUUAAUUCCAGCUCUUCUGACAUGACAGCAAGACUGUUGUUGGAGGCAUAGAAAUGACAGGGUUCAUAAUUUUCGAUCUAUUUGCUCAAAAAGGAAAAAAAGUUCUGAAAAUCAGAUCAUGUUUAUAUAUUAUCUUGAAGUUUCAUCAUGCCGAGAAAGCAAACAGAUGAAAUGAAGUCACUAGCAUAAGUAACAAAGAAAAUAGCUAACUACAUUCCAAACCAGUUGUAAAUGUUCCAUUUCAAGACUUAGCUGUUCCAGUUGAUUCGAUGUUGCCCGAUCACCAUAACUCAAUGGACCAAAGUUUGGUGUGAUUAACAGUAUAUGAAAGUGUGUCAAUAACUGCUCAUCUUUCCUUAGUUUUAUUUUGUAUGGUUAAGACAUAAUCAGAUUCUUUACUUGGCAGAAUCAUGCUCAAAUUCUGAUUAUUCCUAUUUCAGAUUUAUCACUUAAAGUUACAAAUGGAUUUUUUUAUGUCUGAAGAUGUUUGCUUUAUGCUAUUUUGAAUUCAAUAAAACCAUGUGUGUUCAACAUAAUGGUAUUUCAUAAAUUUCAUAUUUUAAUGGAAUCUUCAACAUAGUCUCUUAACAAGAGACACUGAGCUAGGAUUUGACAAGUGGUCAUGUUUUAGAAUUUUUAUUUAGCAGAAAAAAAUAAAAGAUGAACUAUUUUGUCAAAGAAAAAUAUGUUGAUUGCAUGUGUAUGAUGCAUAUUGAAGAGCUCCAUGACCUUCAUCAAAAAAUGAGUUUGACAAUAUCAUUUCAAAAUGUGUCUGUUAACUGAAAAGUCUCACGUUACACGAAUGUACAUAGUACAAAUAAUAGGGUUUUGAGACCGUGUCAUACAUAUUCUUUAGUAUCCCUUUGUUCAUAUCACUGCCAGUAUAAAUUGAAUUUUAUGCAGCUAAUCUCAUCUAUAUAAAUUAUGGUUGCCAAGCAGACAAAAUGGCAGUGAGAAGUUAAAGAUUUUUGUCAUUUAGGAAGAUCUUUGGAUGAAGAAUUGUCUUUUACUAGACAUUAUUUUUAUAACUUAGAACAAAGAAUGGAUGGAUUGAUGGAUUAUAUUGCUCUUUUAUACGUAAAGAUCUAUGUAUUUACAAAUGCAUAUUUGUGUGUGCAGCUCCAACAGAAACCUGUAUGACUAUUGUACUUUCUCAUCUUUAUGAACAAUGUAAUU
rnacentral:misc_RNA from 1 species